rnacentral:tRNA from 1 species
GCGGCUGUAACUCAGCGGUUAGAGUACAAGCUUGUCAAACUUGAAGUCACGGGUUCGAAUCCCGUCAGUCGCG